rnacentral:rRNA from 1 species
UACGUGGGCGGCGAGCGUUGUCCGGAUUUAUUGGGUGUAAAGCGCGCGCAGGCGGUCGCUUAAGUCUGCUGUGAAAUCUCCCGGCUCAACUGGGAGGGGGCGGCGGAGACUGGGCGACUGGAGGGACCUAGAGGCCGGUGGAAUUCCCGGUGUAGUGGUGGAAGCGUAGAGAUCGGGAGGAACACCUGUGGCGAAGGCGGCCGGCUGGGGGUACCCUGACGCUGAGGCGCGACAGCGUGGGGAGC